GAUGAACGCUGGCGGCGUGCCUAAUACAUGCAAGUCGAGCGAACGGACGCGAAGCUUGCUUCUCUGAUGUUAGCGGCGGACGGGAGAGUAACACGUGUAUAACCUACCUAUAAGACUGGGAUAACUUCGGGAACCCGGAGCUAAUACCGGAUAAUAUUUUGAACCGCAUGGUUCAAAAGAGAAAGACGGUCUUGCUGUCACUUAUAGAUGGAUCCGCGCUGCAUUAGCUAGUUGGUAAGGUAACGGCUUACCAAGGCAACGAUGCAUAGCCGACCUGAGAGGGUGAUCGGCCACACUGGAACUGAGACACGGUCCAGACUCCUACGGGAGGCAGCAGUAGGGAAUCUUCCGCAAUGGGCGAAAGCCUGACGGAGCAACGCCGCGUGAGUGAUGAAGGUCUUCGGAUCGUAAAACUCUGUUAUUAGGGAAGAACAUAUGUGUAAGUAACUGUGCACAUCUUGACGGUACCUAAUCAGAAAGCCACGGCUAACUACGUG
rnacentral:rRNA from 1 species